rnacentral:sRNA from 1 species
AGCAGCCGCGGUAAUUCCAGCUCCAAUAGCGUAUAUUAAAGUUGUUGCAGUUAAAAAGCUCGUAGUUGAAUUUCGGGAUUAGUACGCUGGUCGUGCCUUCGGUAUGUACUGGUGUUACUGGUUCCUACCUUCUGACGAACCGUCAUGUCAUUAAUUUGGUGUGGCGGGAAUCAGGACUGUUACUUUGAAAAAUUAGAGUAGUUUAAAGCAGGCUCGCGCUUGAAUACAUUAGCAUGGAAUAAUGAAAUAGGACGUUCGAUCCUAUUUUGUUGGUUUCUAGGAUUGACGUAAUGAUUAAUAGGGAUAGUUGGGGGCAUUAGUAUUCAAUUGUCAGAGGUGAAAUUCUUGGAUUUAUUGAAGACUAACUACUGCGAAAGCAUUUGCCAAGGAUGUUUUCAUUAAUCAAGAACGAAAGUUAGGGGAUCGAAGACGAUCAGAUACCGUCGUAGUCUUAACCAUAAACUAUGCCGACUAGGGAUCGGAUGAUGUUAUUUUUAAUGA